rnacentral:misc_RNA from 1 species
GAUGAAGAACGUAGCGAAAUGCGAUAAGUAAUGUGAAUUGCAGAUUUCAGUGAAUCAUCGAAUCUUUGAACGCACCUUGCGCCUUGUGGUAUUCCACAAGGCAUGCCCGUUUGAGUAUCAUUAAAUCAUCAACUCUAAAACCUUUGUGGUUUUUUUAGAGCUUGGUCUUGAGGGUUUUGCAGGCUUUUUUUUUUUCGAGUCUGCUCCCUUUAAAUGCAUUAGCGAGACUUCCCUAUGCUUAACCGUCUCUUUGACGUGAUAAUUAUCUGCGUCGAAUUUUGGUUCUCGUUGGGCUUGCUUCUAAUCGUCUGUUAAAGACAAAACGGAUUUGGGUGCAUAUAUGCGCCUUUUUUCAAAACCUUUUUUGAUCUCAAAUCGGGUAGGACUACCCGCUGAACUUAAGCAUAUCAAUAAGCGGAGGA